CCGUUUUUGGCUCAGGACGAACGCUGGCGGCGUGCCUAAUACAUGCAAGUCGAGCGAAUGGAUUAAGAGCUUGCUCUUAUGAAGUUAGCGGCGGACGGGUGAGUAACACGUGGGUAACCUGCCCAUAAGACUGGGAUAACUCCGGGAAACCGGGGCUAAUACCGGAUAACAUUUUGAACCGCAUGGUUCGAAAUUGAAAGGCGGCUUCGGCUGUCACUUAUGGAUGGACCCGCGUCGCAUUAGCUAGUUGGUGAGGUAACGGCUCACCAAGGCAACGAUGCGUAGCCGACCUGAGAGGGUGAUCGGCCACACUGGGACUGAGACACGGCCCAGACUCCUACGGGAGGCAGCAGUAGGG
rnacentral:rRNA from 1 species